GUGGCAUCUUUAAAACUCCUGAGAGCUAUUGUUGGUGCUGACUUGCCUGAGACAAGAGUUAAAAAGCUUCUGAUUGUGAAGGCAGUGAAAUCCACUCUCAGUGAUCAGAAUGCUAUGGUGAGGAAGGCAGCUCUUCAUUUCAUCAGGACACUGCUCAGUUCAGGAAGUGUGGAGAAUUGUGCAGCAUGGGAUAUGGUAGCAUAUGUUUUCAGCGAGUUCACUG